CACCUCCAGCAUCCCUAGUAUUGGAGGCACUGCCUGCCCAGUGACUAAACGUUAAACGGCCGCGGUAUUCUGACCGUGCAAAGGUAGCAUAAUCAUUUGUUCUCUAAAUAAGGACUUGUAUGAAUGGCCACACGAGGGUUUUACUGUCUCUUACUUCCAAUCAGUGAAAUUGACCUCCCCGUGAAGAGGCGGGGAUAAAUCAACAAGACGAGAAGACCCUAUGGAGCUUUAACUAAGUAACUCAAGGAAAAUAAAUUCAACCACCAAGGGAUAACAACACUCCUUAUGAGUUAACAGUUUCGGUUGGGGUGACCUCGGAGAACAGAAAAUCCUCCGAGCGAUUUUAAAGACUAGACUAACAAGUCAAACCAAACCAUCGCUUAUUGAUCCCAAAACUUGAUCAACGGAACAAGUUACCCUAGGGAUAACAGCGCAAUCCUAUUCAAGAGUCCAUAUCGACAAUAGGGUUUACGACCUCGAUGUUGGAUCAGGACACCCCGAUGGUGCAACCGCUAUCAAAGGUUCGUUUGUUCAACGAUUAAAGUCCU
rnacentral:rRNA from 1 species